GAGACCCACGCCAACAGUUGCCAGCACGUUCUCCGGAAUGGUGGGGUCACUGUUGGGACCGCCUCUGCUAAAGAGGAGGAAGGAAUGGGCAACGGUAGGUCAGCAUGCCCCGAAUUACCCGGGCUACACGCGGGCUACAAUGGACAGGACAAUAGGAAUCGACACCGAGAGGUGAAGGCAAUCCCCUAAACCUGCCCUUAGUUCGGAUUGUGGGCUGCAACUCGCCCACAUGAAGCUGGAAUCCGUAGUAAUCGCGGAUCAACAUUCCGCGGUGAAUAU
rnacentral:rRNA from 1 species